UGAAAUCUGGCUCUCGGGCCCGAGUUGUAAUUUGUAGAGGAUGACUUUGAUGCGGUGCCUUCCGAGUUCCCUGGAACGGGACGCCAUAGAGGGUGAGAGCCCCGUCUGGUUGGAUGCCAAAUCUCUGUAAGUCUCCUUCGACGAGUCGAGUAGUUUGGGAAUGCUGCUCUAAAUGGGAGGUAUAUGUCUUCUAAAGCUAAAUACCGGCCAGAGACCGAUAGCGCACAAGUAGAGUGAUCGAAAGAUGAAAAGCACUUUGAAAAGAGAGUUAAAAAGUACGUGAAAUUGUUGAAAGGGAAGCGUUUAUGACCAGACUUGGGCUUGGUUAAUCAUCUGGGGUUCUCCCCAGUGCACUUUUCCAGUCCAGGCCAGCAUCAGUUUUCGCCGGGGGACAAAGGCUUCGGGAAUGUGGCUCCCCUCGGGGAGUGUUAUAGCCCGUUGUGUAAUGCCCUGGCGGGGACUGAGGUUCGCGCUUCUGCAAGGAU
rnacentral:rRNA from 1 species